rnacentral:rRNA from 1 species
AGAGUUUGAUUAUGGCUCAGAACGAACGCUGGCGGCAUGCCUAACACAUGCAAGUCGAACGAGACCUUCGGGUCUAGUGGCGCACGGGUGCGUAACGCGUGGGAAUCUGCCCUUGGGUUCGGAAUAACUNGCCGAAAGGCGUGCUAAUACCGGAUGAUGUCGUAAGACCAAAGAUUUAUCGCCCAGGGAUGAGCCCGCGUAAGAUUAGGUAGUUGGUGAGGUAAAGGCUCACCAANCCGACGAUCUUUAGCUGGUCUGAGAGGAUGACCAGCCACACUGGAACUGAGACACGGUCCAGACUCCUACGGGAGGCAGCAGUGGGGAAUAUUGCACAAUGGGCGCAAGCCUGAUGCAGCCAUGCCGCGUGUAUGAAGAAGGCCUUCGGGUUGUAAAGUACUUUCAGCGGGGAGGAAGGGAGUAAAGUUAAUACCUUUGCUCAUUGACGUUACCCGCAGAAGAAGCACCGGCUAACUCCGUGCCAGCAGCCGCGGUAAUAAGGG